rnacentral:rRNA from 1 species
GAUGAACGCUGGCGGCGUGCUUAACACAUGCAAGUCGAACGGAAAGGCCCAAGCUUGCUUGGGUACUCGAGUGGCGAACGGGUGAGUAACACGUGGGUGAUCUGCCCUGCACUUCGGGAUAAGCCUGGGAAACUGGGUCUAAUACCGGAUAGGACGAUGGUUUGGAUGCCAUUGUGGAAAGUUUUUUCGGUGUGGGAUGAGCUCGCGGCCUAUCAGCUUGUUGGUGGGGUAAUGGCCUACCAAGGCGUCGACGGGUAGCCGGCCUGAGAGGGUGUACGGCCACAUUGGGACUGAGAUACGGCCCAGACUCCUACGGGAGGCAGCAGUGGGGAAUAUUGCACAAUGGGCGCAAGCCUGAUGCAGCGACGCCGCGUGGGGGAUGACGGCUUUCGGGUUGUAAACUCCUUUCGCUAGGGACGAAGCGUUUUUGUGACGGUACCUGGAGAAGAAGCACCGGCUAACUACGUG